rnacentral:lncRNA from 1 species
ACAUCUCCCUCUCCUCUCCUGAGUCUCUCUCCUCACUGCACCCGAGUCCUCUCUACUAACACCAUGGGCUGUGGCUGUGGAGGUUGUGGCGACUGUGGCAGCUGUGGCGGCUGUGGCGGCUGUGGCGGCUGUGGCGGCUGUGGUGGCUGUGGCGGCUGUGGCGGCUGUAGCGGCUGUGGCGGCUGUGGCGGCUGUAGCGGCUGUGGCGGCUGUAGCAGCUGUACCACCUGCAGAUGCUACCGCUGCUGUGGUGGUUGCUGUGGCUGCUGUGGUUGUGGUUGCUGUGGCUGCUGUGGCUGUGGUGGCUGUGGCUGCGGUGGCUGUGGCUGCGGUGGCUGUGGCUGUGGCGGUUGUGGCUGCGGUGGCUGUGGUGGCUGCUGUGGUUGCUGUGGCUGCUGCAAGCCUGUGGUAGUCUGCUGCUGCCGCCGCAGCUGCUGCCGCUCCUGUGGCUGUGGCUCCUGUGGCUGCGGCUGUGGCUGUGGGAAGGGCUGUUGCCAGCAGAAGUGCUGCUGCCAGCAGAAGUGUGGCUGCAAGAAGUGUUGCUGCUAGAGUCCUUCUAGAAUGUUGGUUUCUGUGCCUAUCAGUUGUCACUGUAUCCUUUGCUGUCUCUUCUUUCUUCCCCUCCUGCCUUUGAUGUCUCAAUUCUCUCCAUCUGGAGAUUUCCAUCCAAAUGGAUAGGAGCCUUCUCAGGGGAAAACAUUUGCUCAGCCUAGGUCUGGUGUAAGUCUCUAAUCUUUGACCCUGUUCCAAUGAGAUCCUAUUGUUUGCCUCCAUGGCUCUUUACUGUCUUCAGUUUUGCUUUAUUUGGUCUUCCCCCUCCCCUUUCUCUGUACCUUUUCUUUUCUCCUUUUCAUUUAUAGUUCUUAUAUAAUACUUUCCACAUUUUCUAAUAAAAUAAAACAUGCCACA